UACGAAGGGGGCUAGCGUUGCUCGGAAUCACUGGGCGUAAAGCGCACGUAGGCGGCUUGUUAAGUCAGGGGUGAAAUCCUGGAGCUCAACUCCAGAACUGCCUUUGAUACUGAGGAUCUUGAGUUCGGGAGAGGUGAGUGGAACUGCGAGUGUAGAGGUGAAAUUCGUAGAUAUUCGCAAGAACACCAGUGGCGAAGGCGGCUCACUGGCCCGGAUACUGACGCUGAGGCACGAAAGCGAUGGGGAGGCAAACAGGGGAAUU
rnacentral:rRNA from 1 species